CUCAAUAAUCAAUUAUGCUUGAAUAGACCUCUAAUUUCGUAUGAACAAGCAGGUGAAUUAUCUGACUUAGAGGGAAAAAAAGCCAGUACAUAAUUAUUCCUCAUCAAAUCUCAUGGGUCGACCGACACGAAGCGGAAAGACACAUAUAGAGAGGAUUUACUUUGACCCCCGAGGGCCAAUCCGGAAGGUCGAAUAAAUAACAGCGACAAACAAGAUCAUAUCAUGGCGCCGGUUGUUCUACUUCCGCCGAAAAAAAAUUAACAGCAUUUUGUUUCAAGGCCAUGGCGGCGGUUCCCCCAGCAGAAGAGAAAAAAAACAAAUAAUGCAGAUGUUAAUUUAAAAAAUCACGCCA